UACGGAGGGUGCAAGCGUUAUCCGGAAUCACUGGGUUUAAAGGGUGCUUAGGCGGCUUAAUAAGUCAGAGGUGAAAGGCUGUGGCUCAACCAUGGGAUUGCCUUUGAUACUGUUAGGCUUGAAUCAGGCUGAGGUUGGCAGAAUGUGGCAUGUAGCGGUGAAAUGCAUAGAUAUGCCAUAGAAUACCGAUUGCGAAGGCAGCUGACGGGCCCUUGAUUGACUCUGAGGCACGAAAGCGUGGGGAGCGAACAGG
rnacentral:rRNA from 1 species